rnacentral:rRNA from 1 species
UGCCAGCAGCCGUGGUAAUACGGAGGGGGUUAGCGUUGUUCGGAACUACUGGGCGUAAAGCGCACGUAGGCGGAUUAGAAAGUUAGAGGUGAAAUCCCGGGGCUCAACCCCGGAACUGCCUUAAAACUACUAGUCUAGAGUUCGAGAGAGGUGAGUGGAAUUCCGAGUGUAGAGGUGAAAUUCGUAGAUAUUCGGAGGAACACCAGUGGCGAAGGCGGCUCACUGGCUCGAUACUGACGCUGAGGCACGAAAGCAUGGGGAGCGAACGGGAUUAGAUA